AUGUUUCUAACUCUCUAUCUCUCUCCCUUCCUCUCUGUAAAAAAUCAGUAAAAUAUAUUUAAAAAAAAACAAACAAAAAAAAAACAAAACAAAAAACCUAAUGUGGAGUGAAAGAAGCAAGACAUCAAAGAACAGUUAACGUUUGAUUCAAUUAUAUAAAGUUAAAAGGUAUUGUUUAUGAUGAGUAUACGCAAUAGCAAAACUCUGAAGGAGAUCAGGGACCUGGUUGCUCUGAGGACCUGAAGGGUGCUGUGGGUCAUCGGAGUCUCUGAUCAGCAAGGCAGGGAUGGGAACGUUGGGGUGCUAGCAGUGUUCUGGUGUUGGUUGCUCUGUAACUGAAUUUGAUAAACUUUUUGUAGGUAUGUCAUAUUUCACAAUAAACAAUGCUAAAUUCAA